rnacentral:lncRNA from 1 species
ACCCCUUUCUAUAUCUAUCCCUAUUCUCCUUGCUCUUCUUAACCUUGUUUCUAAAUAUGCUUCCUCCUCUUCCUAGCUGCGUCUCCAUGAAUCUGGCUUUUGUGAUUUCUCACUUUCUCCUUUGCCCCCUUUGGGUUAUCAAUAUUCAAUCUUGGUUGUGUACAACGAUUCAACUUCUGCGGCUUCAAAAGGUAACACUCCUCUUUGUCUUCCUCACUCUUUUAUGGGGCUAAUCGCUUCUUCUUUGUUAGGUGUGUGUACCGGUUCAGAAUUUCAACUCAACUCGCAGAGGAGCUUAGUCAACUGCCUCAAUGUCUUUGCCAUAAGUAUGCCCUCUUUCUUUCUUUUUUGCCUUUUUGUUGGUGUUGCAUAUUCUGAUUUAUGAUUCCAACAACGGUAGUUGUUUUCGAGCUUCCUCUUUUGUGACAUGACAUUGGAUACUGUGCUUUGGGAUUCUGUCUUCCUGUACAAAUUUGUCUUGAUCAGUGUGAAUGUUUUCCAUAUUGGUUGGCAGUGUCUUUUAUCUUUCUUGUUUUGAUUCUCAAGUUUGUGAUUUGUGCUUUAUCCAUUUUAAAAAUUCUCCUGCACCUUUCUGGUAAAUGUUCAAAGAGCUUGUAUUCCAUUUUUUCCAAAUGAAUGUAUGCACUAUUUGCAAUUGCAUCUACUAGUUGGUUUCCUUCUCUAUAUACAUGUUGGACCUUGAUUCUGUUUUGUUCCACUAUAUGCUUUGCUCAGGGCCGUCUCAACCCCUAGGCCACUAAAGCCAUCGCUUGGGGCCCCAUAAUUUUAAGGGCCCCAUUUUUUUUAAAAAAAAAUCUUAUAAAUGUUGUUUCUUAAAAAGAAAACUUAUAUGUACCAUGAGUGCUAUGAUUUUUACUAAGAAAAUUGUAUAUGAUAUGAAUAUAGAACCUGAAUUUCGUAAGAAAUAAUUUGAUGAAAAUAUUAAUAACGAAAUCACAAAGUCCCUUGAAAUUGGAGUUGAUUCCUUUAUAUAUAGUAGACCAGACUAUUUUUUCCCUUCAAAAUAGAUUUGAACCAAUUGAAGCAUAUGAACAUAUUUUUGUUUUUAGUGGUAAAUUGAAAUCACUAGAUGAUGAGAACUUUUAAAAAAAAACAUUGUUACAACCUUAAACUUGAUUUAACACAUAAUCGUUAUUUUGACAUUGAUGGUUUAGAUUUAUUUUCUUAAUUAAAGUGUUAAGAGAAAUAAUAUAAGUAAAAGACAAUGAUCUAAUGAAAAUACUCAAUCAAAUAAAAAGACUUGAUUCUUUUUCAAAUAUACAUAUUGCAUAGAGAAUAAUGUUAACAGUCUUGUAACAGUUGCCUCAACCAAAAGAAGUUUUUCAACACUAAGACUGAUUAAAUCUUCUUUAAGAUCAACAAUAUUGUCUCAAGAGUGAUUGAAUAGAUUAGCUAUAUUAUCAAUUGGAAAGGAAUUAUUAAAACAAAUCAAUUAUAAAACAGUAACUAAUGACUUCGCAUCUAAAAUGGCUAGAAAAGUAGAUUUUAAACAAAAGUAUAUAUGAUGAAAAUAAUAAAAUAUUAGGGGCCCUCUCUUAAGUUUAGCUUUAGGCCCCCAAUCUUAUUGAGUCGUCUCUGGCCUUGCUUCACCCACUAUAUCCUGCAUCUCCCAAGGUAUUUUUCAUUCACUAGUUAACAUUUUCAUAAUAUCGAGUGAGUCAGUUUCUAUGAUGACCUGUCUGAACUUGUUCAUUAUACAAUAUUUCUGACCUCUUAGUGCCACUGUAGCCUCCACCAUGUUAUUAGUGGUGAUUCCUAUUUCUUGUGCCUCUGCAAAGAUCAAAUCGCUCCUUUCAUCCCUUACACAAAAGGAGUAAGUGCCAAUUCCUGGAUUUCCUUUUGACGAUCCAUCCGUAUUACAUUUAAUCCAAUUAGUGUCUGGCAUAUUCCAAGUGACAGCUUUAUGCAAUAGCUUGGGUUUGUAACAUUUUAGAAGCUUUACCUCUUCCUCCCAUAUCACUGGACACUGAAUCCAAGGAUAGGUUUGUUUUAUAAAUUGGUUGAUUGUAUUUUGACACUGUUGAAACAGUUUGUAAAGAUUCACCUCCCUGUCAUGUCUUCUUGCAGUUCUUCUUUUCCCAAGUUCCCACAUAAGAACAACUAGUACUAACUUGAAUAUCUUUUGUAUUUUGACAGGUCCAGUUGCUUUCCACCAUGAAAUUAUAAGUUGCUGUAGAUGCACUCCAUUUAGCUCAGUACCUG